CCUACGGGUGGCAGCAGUGGGGAAUAUUGCACAAUGGGCGCAAGCCUGAUGCAGCCAUGCCGCGUGUGUGAAGAAGGCCUUCGGGUUGUAAAGCACUUUCAGCGGGGAGGAAGGCGUUAAGGUUAAUAACCUUGGCGAUUGACGUUACCCGCAGAAGAAGCACCGGCUAACUCCGUGCCAGCAGCCGCGGUAAUACGGAGGGUGCAAGCGUUAAUCGGAAUUACUGGGCGUAAAGCGCACGCAGGCGGUCUGUCAAGUCGGAUGGGAAAUCCCCGGGCUCAACCUGGGAACUGCAUUCGAAACUGGCAGGCUAGAGUCUUGUAGAGGGGGGUAGAAUUCCAGGUGUAGCGGUGAAAUGCGUAGAGAUCUGGAGGAAUACCGGUGGCGAAGGCGGCCCCCUGGACAAAGACUGACGCUCAGGUGCGAAAGCGUGGGGAGCAAACAGGAUUAGAUACCCGGGUAGUC
rnacentral:rRNA from 1 species